rnacentral:tRNA from 1 species
UUAAUUGAAGCCAAAUAAGAGGCUUUCCAUUGUUAAUGGAAUCACUGAUUUUAAUAAUCCAAUUAAA